rnacentral:rRNA from 1 species
UACCUGCAGCUCGAGUGGUAACCGCUACUAUUGGGCCUAAAGCGUCCGUAGCCGGUUUGGUAAAUAUCUGGGUAAAUCGUGAGGCUUAACUUCACGAAUUUCGGAUAGACUGUCAGACUUGGGAUCGGGGGAGGUCAGAGGUACUCCAGGGGUAGCGGUGAAAUGUUGUAAUCCUUGGAGGACCACCGGUAGCGAAGGCGUCUGACUAGAACGAGUCCGACGGUGAGGGACGAAGCCCUGGGGCGCAAACCGGAUUAGAUACCCGGGUAGUCCAGGGUGUAAACAAUGCGGGCUUUGUAUUGGAGGUUCCACGUGGGCGUCCAGUGCAGAAGAGAAGUUGUUAAGCCCACCGCCUGGGAAGUACGGUCGCAAGGCUGAAACUUAAAGGAAUUGGCGGGGGAGCACAGCAACGGGAGGAGCGUGCGGUUU